rnacentral:lncRNA from 1 species
GCUCCCAAAGUGCUGGGAUUGCAGGCAUGAGCCACCAUACCCAGCCUUAAUAUUUAAUUUUACACAGAGCAAAAAUAAGUGAGGAAUUUAAGAAUCUUUACUGGGAUCUUUUCUUUCUUUCUUUUUAAGAGCUGGGGUUUCACCAUCUUGCCCAGACUGGUCUCAAAGCCCUGGGCUCAAGCAAUCUUUCCUUCUUGGCCUCCCAGUGUCCUGGGAUUACAGGCAUGAAUCACUCCGCCCAGCUGGAUUUUUCAGUUAAGAACACCGUUGGUGAUCUUAGGUAGAUUAGAACCAGAGAAGCAUUAGAAACAAAAGCCAAAUUCAGCCCACCAACAAAUGAGGAAUCAGAGAAGGAAAGGAAUCAGAGAAGGUGAUUGUCCACAGACUGACAUUUGGGAACCAAAUAUGGUAGAGGAGUCUUUCAAGAAGUUCGAACCAUAAUGCUUGGGACAGAGGAGUUGAAAGCAGACCACUAUAUGGAAAAUUUGUUUUUAAGCUUCUAGAGGCUACCCACAUUCCUGGGCUAAUGGCCCCUUCCUACAUCUUCAAAGCCAGCAGUGGUGGGCUGAGUCUUUCUCCUGGUAUCAUCUCUUCAUUCUCUAUCUCCCUCUCCCAAUUUUAAGGACCUCUGUGAUUAUAUUGGGCACCUGGAUAUUGCAGGAUACGCUCUCUAUUUUAAGGCUAUGCUCCGUAAAGAGAGUGCCUCCUCUAGAAUCACAAGACCUAAGCAUGAAUCUUCCUUUGAAGGAUAAAAUGGAAGGAAAAAAACUGGAUGAGGAAAAGAAGAGUGGGGAAUAGAAAGAGAGAGAGAGAGAAAGAUGGAUAAAUUUUUAAAGUUACUAUAAUAAAAAUCUUCUACAACGAAACUAUAAUUGUUGAUCAGCAAAUGUGAACUAAUCCUCCUCCU